AGGUUCCAUGCGAGCGGUAAGAGUGCGGCGGGACUUGGAAAUCGAAUCUGUGCUCUGUGAGAGAUCCUAGGAAAGGAAACUGGGAGCCCGGGAGAACUAAAAUUCCCAAUUAAAAGUGAAUUUAAAUCUGAGCUGUUCUUAGACCCAGAAUUUCUUGCCUGAAGGAGGAAUCAGGUCCCCACAAGGAAAGACCCUGCAACUGUAUAAAAAAAGAAUCUAAAAAGAUCAUGACUCCUUCAGUCCUUUCCCAAAGAGACCUAUGGAAAUUUCCUCAGGAAGAGGGACCAAGCAAAACCCCAGAAGAGUUGAUCUCAAAGCUUAUUUUAUGAAGAAAAUUGACCUGAGUGACACAAAGGGUUGGACUGUAGUAGAUGUCACGUUUUGCUGCCUAGAUCUCCAUCCAGGGAUGAACUCUUAUUUCCUCAGCUUCUUUGUCUCCUCAGCUUCUGGGAGGGUUGGCAGCUGAUAUUCUCACCUGAGUCCCUUUCUAGGACUUGCCCUUGCCUGAAGAGAGCUGUGCUGCCCAACAUGAUGCCUCCUCCAAGGUACAAUCCACACCCAGUGACUAAUAAACAGGGGUUACAAAGGCAUGCCUGCUUGCCCCAGUUUGGGACAACUUUACCAGGCCAACCCAGCCUCAAGGCUCUCCACAGGAACAGGGACCCUGAAAGCUGUGUCUAUGAAGUUAUUACAAGAUAUUGGCUACUGUGGUGCAUGGAGCUUCUAGGCCAGGGUGAUUCUCACACCUGCCUGAUGUGGAUCUUGUUGCUUCACACCUGAAACAUCAUUUGAGAAGCCCGGGAAGUGGUGUGGCUGCUGCAUGGCUGCUCCAAGAACUACUCCCAUGGGAGAGGAGCUCCCAACAGUGCCUUGCCAUCAAGCUUUGAUUUCUACCUUACAUACCUCUGAAUAAACUGUUGCCAAUGAGGCUGAUGGAAGUCUUGUGAGUUUGAAUGCCAGGUUGAACUUAAGAGGAUUCCCUGUUGUGUUUGCAGAGAGCAACUUUGAGGUAUGAGAUAAUGUUUCACUCUGGGACAAAGAACAGGCUUUCUUACAGCUUGAUAUAAAACAGAUGAAUUCCCCAAGUCCAGUGUACCUCUUCUGCAAUGCAACCAAUUGCAUGUACAGGCAUCCAUCUGGGCCCAUGUCACAUCACCCUAUGGGUCUUGGGGAUGGGGAGCAAGGGAAACUGAUGUGGAUGAUAAUGCUCAUAAUGCUUACCAUGCCAUGGGUAAUAGAGUUCUUUGCCAUAGACCUAGGAUUCUUGAGGGUUUUUGUUUUUUUUUUCCAGCUUCCAUGAAACAGUAGUAUAGGCUAACUUGUUAGCUUCCAAGUAGAGUAAAAUCAAAUCCCUGACACAACAGUUAAUUCAAAGUUCCUAAAGUAGCUAAAAAUAUUUCUUUUAAGUUGAGGCACUUGAAUAUUCUGGUUAUGAAGCUAUAAUAAUUAAGACAAUAUGGCAUUGGCAUGCGAAUAGAGUCCAGAAAUAGCAAUCAAUGGAACAGAACAGAGAGUCCAGAAAUAGACCCAUACAAAUAAAAUUAACUGAUUUUCAACAAUGUUAACAGGAUAAUUCAAUGGGGGAAAGGAUAUUUUUAGCAAAUGGUGCUGAAAACAUAUGAUAUCCAUGUGCAAAAGAAAUCAUCUGGAGCCAUACUUUAAACCUUAUAAAUAACUCAAGAUGGAUCUCAGACCCAAUGGUAAGAGCUAAAACAAUAAAAUUUCUAGAAGAAAACGGAAAAUUUUUGUGACCUUGAGUUAGGCAAAGAAUUUUUAGGUAGGACACAAAAAGCACAAAUCACAGGUGAAAAAUUGAAAACUUGGAAUUUACCAUUAAAAGCAUCUUGUUCUUUAAAAGACACUGUUAAGAAAAUAAGUAUAUAAGCCAUGGGAUGAGAGAAAAUAAUUGCAAAACACAUAUCAGGUAAGGGACUUGUAUCCAAAAUAUGUAAAGAACACCUAUAAAUUAAGAAUAGGAAGACAACCCAAUAUAAAGUGGGCAGAAGAUUAUACAGAUACUUUACCAAAUAUGCAAAUGGCCAGUAAGCACAUGUUCAACAUCAUUAGCUGUUAGGGAAAAUGCAAAUUAAAACCACAAUUUGCUACUGCACAUUCCUGGAAUAACUAAAAUGAAAAAGUCUGAGAAUACGAAGUGAUGGUGAGAAUGUGGAGCAACUCGAAUGCCCAUAUAUUGCUUGUGGGGUUGCAAAAUGGUACAACCACUUUGAAAAACAGUCUGGCAAUUUCUCAUGAAGUUAAACAUGUACUUACCAUAUAUCCCAGUAAUUCUAUUUCUGGAUAUUUGCCUAAUAUAAAAACAUUUGUCUACAGAAAGACCUGAGUGUCAUAGCAGCUGAAUGCUCAAUAAGCUGAAUGUUUAUGGCAACUUUAUUCAUAACAAUAAAAAAAAACUUGAAACAAUCCAAAUGACCAUCAAUUGGGGAGUGGAUAAACAAAUUGUGGUGCAUUCAUACAAUGACAUGCUACUCAAGAGUGAAAAGGACAAGACCAUGGAUACAAGCAACAAGGUGGAAAAACCUCAAAAGCAUGAUGCCAAUAAAACUAGCUAGCGCUAAAAGAUGUAUAUUGUAUGGCUCCAUCUAUAUGGCACCCUACAAAAGGCAAAACUACAGAGACAGAAAGUAGGUUGGUUUUUGCCAGAGGGUAGAGCUGGUGAAAGAGGAUUAACCUUUGAAAAGGUACAGCAGAAUUGUUUUGGAGUGGUGGAAGUAUUCUAUAUUUUGAUUGUGGUGGUAGGUACACAACUGUAUCCUGCUAAAAUUCCUCAGAUUUAACACUUAAAAGUUGAAUUUUAUUGUAUGUACAAAUAGAGAAUGGAAGAACAAAAGAAUGAGGAAAGGAAGCAAGAAAGGAAGGAAGAAAGGGUGGGAGGGAGGAAGAACGGAAGGGAGGGAAAGACAAAUUUCUUCUCAUUCUUUAUCCCUCUUUGAGAUGCCUCUCUGUGGAUCCUGUCACCUCUACUGGGGAGCAAAAAGAACACAGAAGUUGGAGCCGACGGAUCCCAUGCCUAGCUGGGUAAUUAGGCAAAUCUCAGCCUCUGGAAAUGCAGCUUCUUCUGUAACCUACCUCAGAGGGCUGUUGUGAGGAUUGAAUGGGGUAACAUUUAAACUAACUGGCAAAAGCAGGUUCUCAAUAUAUUAAAAUUCACAUGAAAAAGAUAAACCAGGAAGGGAGUUGGCAGGAAGCCAGGAAGCCUCCUGUGUUCUCUGCAGGAGGCUUAUCUAGUUCAUCAGGAUCUUGGGAACAGCUAGUCUUCCUCUGCUGCAUUCUGAGAGUUAGGUGAUGAGUCACCACCUCAAGAGGCCAUCUAGUUCUGGCCGAUCUAUCUGACUGGAUCGUGGACCCUAGGACCCAGCUAACUUGUUCUCCAGCCAAUUUAGAAGAAUGAGUAGCAAAAAUAAUAUGGCAAGUAUUUCUUGAAGUGCCCUAACCCUCUGUCCUUAUUAGUGUACCCUGUCAGGAGUGGCCUGCCUUGACUUUCUGUCAAACUGGAGCAGCCUGAGACUAAGGGCAAAUGCCCUCUUGGCCUUGGCCGGCCACAACUUGGAUAUGCAGGUCAGGCUUAUUGUUAGGGAAGCUCUGAGACUCAAUUAAUCUGAUGCCUUUUUAUUAUGAGUUCAGGUGCAGCUCCAUUUACAAGUUUUUCUUUCAAAAUCAUUCAGCCAUUAAAGCUGCAUAAUCUUGGAAGGUUUUGAAGACGCAUGAUUGGUAAAUGUUUUUCCCCUUCACACAUUAUCUCUCAUGUUUAUUCAUGAAAAGUGAACCAGUCUUAUAAUUUAAACAGUGUCUUGGGGUAUCUGGCCUCCUGUAUUUCUAAGGGGGAGGAAAGAUGAGGCUAGCCCAGAAGCCAUUUAAAAAGGGGAUUUGAGGCCUGAACGCAGAGAACUCAAUCCCAGGUACUAAUGACCUUGCUUUGGCUUGCAAGACUAAGCCUGAGGCCUGUGGCACUUAAGAGGGUUACUGGGUACCCAGACAGGCAAAUGCCUGUUGAUUGGAUGGCUAAAUUGUGAAGAAAGCAAAGCUUACCUGUGCAAUGUGUCCAUGCCUUCAUUCCUACUUUCUGAAUCAACAGUGCCUGUUAUUGUUCUGCCCAACUGUUAAGAUGUUCCACCUGUGCCUGCUCUUUGGCGCAGUACUCCAGGCUAUAGAUCAACAUUUCUCAAACCUGGCUGCACAUUAGAGUCAUCUGGGGAUCUUUUAAAAACCCAGCUGCCUUGGCUGCACAUCUGAUCAUUACGUCAGACUCUUGUAGGGAGGAGUAUAGACAUCAGCAUUGAUUAAAACUCCUGAGAUAAUUCCAAUGUGCAGUCAGGAUUGAGAACAGCUGGUCUACACCAGUUCCUCUUGAAGUAUGGUCUGUAAGUCACAGGCUGCAGAAUCUCCUUGGAUGUUUGUGGGAAAUGCAGAUUGCUAGGUUCACCAGCCCUAUAGGCACUGAGUCUCAAGGUGAGAUCUGGAAAAUGUGUUUUAAUAAGCUCCCCAGGUGAUUCCUAAGCUUUUUGCAAGUACCGCUGCUUCUUAUGAUAUGGCCGUUCUUGCUUCCCAUCAGUUAUCCUUGUCUUUCAGUUCCUCAAAGAUAUCAAGUUUCAUUCAUCCUCAGGACCACUGCAUAUGAUAGUCGCUCUACUUGGAAGACAUUUUCCUCUUUCUCCUUGUUAUUAGGCAUUUGGCAGACUUAACAAUGAGGCUAUUGUAACCCCAGAAAGUCAUUGCAAAGUGCCUGCUUAGGGGGUUAAGAGUAGACACUGCAGGGCCUUGGAAUAGUAAUGGUUUACUAUUUAAUGAGUUCCCUGUCACUGGAAGUCAUAGAGAGAUUGCUCCAGGCAUGGUGGGAGAAAAGCCAGUUUGACAGGCGGUGGAGGGAUAAGAGGGAAGACUUGAGUGACGUGGCACAAACUGGGUCAGAUCUAUUAAAGAGGCAGCCCUGGGCAGCUGGCAAGAGAUCAUGUCAAGAGACACAAUGCAGGUGCCAGCAGGACCAGAAGAUCAGCUUCUUAGAGCGAGUGCCACCUGGAAGGGGGAAACCAAGGGAAGGGGCACAGCAAAGGGCAAAGCUGGGUGGUGGAGGAAGUACCCAAACAGAGGGAAGAGCCACUCUGGCCACAUCAAGUGAAUACUGAUGAUCGGGAAACAUUCAUGGGAAGUUAUUUCACUCUCUCGAGUCCAGUGUAAGUGAGAAAGUGUAAUUUAAUUUAAAAGAGCCUAAUUUAGCCUUCCAUCAACUGUAGAUCUUUUAACGAGACCUUUAUUCUUCUAGGACAGCAUUUCUCAAACUUUAAUGUGCGUAGGAAUCUUAUUAAAAUGCAGAUUCUGAUUCAGUACGUCUGGGGUAAGGGCUGAGAUUCAGCACUUCUAACCGGCUCCUAGAUGCCCCCGGUCUGAGCACUACACUUAGAGCAAGCAGGUUUGAACAUUGCGACUUAUAACAGUGGACCCAUGGUGUAGACAAGUCCAGAAAUGACUGCUGAAUCAACAGUUUUUAUGUUAGCUUCCGUAUACCUUCAGAAUUCAGUGUUUGUGUGCAUUCUAAUUCUCUAAAUGAUGUAUAUUAGAUUUCCAUUAACG
ensembl:lncRNA CPB2-AS1 CPB2 antisense RNA 1